CACCGCGGUUAAACGAGAGGCCCUAGUUGAUAUUAUUACGGCGUAAAGGGUGGUUAAGGAUAAAAGAUUAAUAAAGCCAAAUGGCCCUUUGGCCGUCAUACGCUUCUAGGUGUCCGAAGUCCAACCCCACGAAAGUAGCUUUAAUAAAACCCACCUGACCCCACGAAAGCUGAGAAA
rnacentral:rRNA from 1 species